GACAUAGGGUGCUCCGGCUCCAGCGUCUAC
rnacentral:piRNA from 1 species